GAUGAACGCUAGCGGCAGGCCUAACACAUGCAAGUCGAGGGGUAGAAGGAGCUUGCUCCUUUGAGACCGGCGCACGGGUGCGUAACGCGUAUGCAAUCUACCUUUUACAGAGGGAUAGCCCAGAGAAAUUUGGAUUAAUACCUCAUAGUAUAUAUCAUUCGCAUGUUUGGUAUAUUAAAGUUCCAACGGUAAAAGAUGAGCAUGCGUCCCAUUAGUUAGUUGGUAAGGUAACGGCUUACCAAGACGAUGAUGGGUAGGGGUCCUGAGAGGGAGAUCCCCCACACUGGUACUGAGACACGGACCAGACUCCUACGGGAGGCAGCAGUGAGGAAUAUUGGUCAAUGGACGCAAGUCUGAACCAGCCAUGCCGCGUGCAGGAAGACGGUCCUAUGGAUUGUAAACUGCUUUUGUACGGGAAGAAACACUCCUACGUGUAGGAGCCUGACGGUACCGUAAGAAUAAGGAUCGGCUAACUCCGUGCCAGCCGCCGCCGUAA
rnacentral:rRNA from 1 species